GGUUAACUUGGUAAUCUUUAUUCUAGCCUUAAGAAAUGCUUUAUCCACCUGGGAAGUUACUUCAACCCGUACACAAGGCAGCGAAACAACUACCAAGGCAACGAUUCGUACCAAGUUGAGAAAAGCAAGAAUUGGUCUCAAAGGUUCGGCUGUACUGCUGCCAAUACUUGGACUCACAUGGGUGUUUGGUUUACUGGUUUUCAAUCGAGAUACAAUUAUGUUUAAAUAUCUAUUCGCCAUCUUUAACUCUCUACAAGGACUAAUGAUAUUUGUUUUUCAUGUGCUUAUAAAUAAAAAGGUAUGCUUUUGGAACGCUUUAAUAUAAUGACUUCGUUCCAAGUAAACCUGACAAGAAUUGGCUUCUUUACUGCCCAUUUCCCAAUAAUAAUACUCAAGUACAGUAACAAAGUGCAUUUAAUUACUUCGUUACUAGCCGCUACCAGUGGGUCUGGGGGUUGUAUUUAUGGGUUUUGGGAGCUUGAUUUUCUGCAUUUUUAGGCACAGCUUAUUUAUCUUUUUUAUCCGCUAGACAGAUGUUUGGUCAUGGGAAUAUUACAGCAAUCUCCUUGCGUUUUCUUAAAUUUUAAGGCGAAGGAGGAGAGCAAACAUGGGGGCUUUGGGACAUACUCCUAAGAAUGUAACAUACACUAUGUCUCUUCUUUAUAGAUUCACGAAGAAAUCAGCAGAGAAAGGAAAGCUCGCAAUGCCGGGCAACCUACCAAGACCAAGCCCAUGGCAAAUACCACAU
rnacentral:lncRNA from 1 species